AACGAACGCUGGCGGCAUGCUUAACACAUGCAAGUCGAACGAGACCUUCGGGUCUAGUGGCGCACGGGUGCGUAACGCGUGGGAACCUGCCCUUAGGUUCGGAAUAACUCCCCGAAAGGGGUGCUAAUACCGGUUAAUGUCUUCGGACCAAAGAUCUAUCGCCUUUGGGUGGGCCCGCGUUGGAUUAGCGAGUUGGUAGGGUAAUAGCCUACCAAGGCGACGUUGCAUAGCUGGUCUGAGAGGAUGACAAGCCACGCUGGGGCUGAGACACGGCCCAGCCUGCGACGGGGAGGGGCAGAAGAGUGUACUGGGCGAGGAGGGAAGAUCUAGUCCCGCAGUGCGGGGGGUGAGGUGCAGGGCGUUGUGUUGUAAAGCCCUUUGAGACGAAAUGAUAAUGACAGUACCGGGAGAAUAAGCACCGGCUAACUACGUG
rnacentral:rRNA from 1 species